rnacentral:rRNA from 1 species
CCUACGGGUGGCAGCAGUGAGGAAUAUUGGUCAAUGGACGCAAGUCUGAACCAGCCAUGCCGCGUGCAGGAAGACGGCUCUAUGAGUUGUAAACUGCUUUUGUACGAGGGUAAACGCAGAUACGCGUAUCUGUCUGAAAGUAUCGUACGAAUAAGGAUCGGCUAACUCCGUGCCAGCAGCCGCGGUAAUACGGAGGAUUCAAGCGUUAUCCGGAUUUAUUGGGUUUAAAGGGUGCGUAGGCGGUCUGAUAAGUUAGAGGUGAAAUCCCGAGGCUCAACUUCGGAAUUGCCUCUGAUACUGUUCGUCUAGAGAGUAGUUGCGGUAGGCGGAAUGUAUGGUGUAGCGGUGAAAUGCUUAGAGAUCAUACAGAACACCGAUUGCGAAGGCAGCUUACCAAGCUACUUCUGACGUUGAGGCACGAAAGCGUGGGGAGCAAACAGGAUUAGAUACCCCUGUAGUC